rnacentral:rRNA from 1 species
UAGGGAAUCUUCCACAAUGGACGAAAGUACUGAUGGAGCAACGCCGCGUGAGUGAAGAAGGGUUUCGGCUCGUAAAACUCUGUUGUUAAAGAAGAACAUAUCUGAGAGUAACUGUUCAGGUAUUGACGGUAUUUAACCAGAAAGCCACGGCUAAAUACGUGCCAC